CCUACAUGAUUUUAGUGCUUGCACCUAGAUGAGACUAGUAUACAAGCGAGCGGCGGACGGACUGAGGAACACGUGGGUAACCUGCCGAACCAGACUGGGAUAACACCUGGCAAACAGAUGCUAAUACCGGCAUAACAACACUAGACGCAUGUCGAGAGUUUGAAAGAUGGUUCUGCUAUCACUCUUGGAUGGACCUGCGGUGCAUUAGCUAGUUGGUAAGGUAACGGCUUACCAAGGCAAUGAUGCAUAGCCGAGUUGAGAGACUGAUCGGCCACAUUGGGACUGAGACACGGCCCAAACUCCUACGGGAGGCAGCAGUAGGGAAUCUUCCACAAUGGACGAAAGUCUGAUGGAGCAACGCCGCGUGAGUGAAGAAGGGUUUCGGCUCGUAAAGCUCUGUUGGUAGUGAAGAAAGAUAGAGGUAGUAACUGGCCGUUAUUUGACGGUAAUUACUUAGAAAGUCACGGCUAACUACGUGCCAGCAGCCGCGGUAAUACGUACGUGGCAAGCGUUGUCCGGAUUUAUUGGGCGUAAAGCGAGUGCACGCGGUUCAAUAAGUCUGAUGUGAGAGCCUUCCGCUCAACCGGACAAUUGCAUCAGUAACUGUUGAACUUGAUUGCAUAAGAAGAAAG
rnacentral:rRNA from 1 species